GAAGAUUCUGGACUACUCCUUUGCUGAUUCUGGCUUUGCCUCUUCUACAUUUAUAAUGAAAUCACUAGUUUUCACAGUUAAUACAUGGAGCAUUUGUGCACCUCAGCAAACAUGCUGGCUGUUUUAAGAAAGGUUUGAAGGGAAAAAAGACCUUUUGGCCACUGUAAGUUUCAGUUGUGUUCUCUAUCCAGCCAACAAUAAAGAAGCAUGUUUGUUUGCCUGCAGUAAAAGGCCUCCUGUGGUGCCUCUGGCCGGCUCCCGGGUUCUGGUUCCCGCUUGUUCCCUGGCUCAGCUCAGUCAGUUGCCUACAGCUGAGCCCUGACACUCACAAAUGGAAUGACGAAUGGCCAAGUUAACCAAAGCCAAGAGAAAAGAAAAUUAGCUUCAGAUUAUGCGUUCCUGCACACAAUGAGGAAAGUUAUUUCCACCUUGUCUCCAUUGCACUUUGGAAAGGUAGAUAUAUGGAUGUUAAGUGUAGACAGGUGCAAAAGAAGACAGGACUCCUGCUGCUGUGAUAAUUGCCAUUUCAGCAGGUGUAGCUUGUCAUUCCCUCUUCUAGACAUCUGUAAAAGCUGCAGGACCCCUGUCCUCCUUUUUUCACCUGACUACCCUAAUA